AGUGAACGCUGGCGGUAGGCCUAACACAUGCAAGUCGAACGGCAGCACAGUAAGAGCUUGCUCUUACGGGUGGCGAGUGGCGGACGGGUGAGGAAUACAUCGGAAUCUACUUUUUCGUGGGGGAUCACGUAGGGAAACUUACGCUAAUACCGCAUACGACCUACGGGUGAAAGCAGGGGAUCUUCGCACCUUGCGCGAUUGCAUGAGCCGAUGUCGGAUUAGCUAGUUGGCGGGGUAAAGGCCCACCAAGGCGACGAUCCGUAGCUGGUCUGAGAGGAUGAUCAGCCACACUGGAACUGAGACACGGUCCAGACUCCUACGGGAGGCAGCAGUGGGAAAUAUUGGACAAUGGGCGCAAGCCUGAUCCAGCCAUACCGCGUGGGUGAAGAAGGCCUUCGGGUUGUAAAGCCCUUUUGUUGGGAAAGAAAAGCAGCAGGUUAAUAACCCGCUGUUCUGACGGUACCCAAAGAAUAAGCACCGGCUAACUUCGUG
rnacentral:rRNA from 1 species